GCACAGCGAGAUAGGGAACGCUAUAACGAGGCGAAUUUCGCAGUGAUUUUCUCCGCUGUACAGGCAUAUACCUUGAAAUAGCUCGCGCGAUUAAUUUUCCCAGUGGGAAAAGAUCGAAAGAGCGAGUGAGAAAAUAAGCGAGUAAAAUCACCUCUUGGAUGCGGUACUUGGUGCGUAUGGUUUUGCGCCGGGUGGUCGUCAUGGUGAUGUCGUCGUCGGUCUCGUUGAUCACGGGAUCGUCGUAGGUCACCUCGACCGUAGGCUCGUCGUAGACAACCUCAACGGUCGGCGCCUCUUCGGACUCCUCGUUCUUCUCCGGCACCACCGCGUCCAUCACAUCCAUGGCUCUUCUUCUCUCUUUCCGUUACAACAACCUCAAAAGUAAACAAAGGGAAUCGCUCAGCGAUCCGACAGUGAUCUCGGUCGUCCGUGUUAAAAACAAAGGGACAACGUGGAUAAUCUUCGUGGACUAUACAUAAACGCUCUGUGUACAUGUGCAAGUGACAGACGUACGUUGGCUUUUCUCCUUGACGCGUCGUAAGGGCCGCAGUACGACACGAGCCGUCCGAAACUCGUCGACAAAGGAAAAGUUGAAUAAAAAAAAGAAUCACGUAUUUGGUAAGCUGAUGGAGCGAUAAGCGCCUCUAUACGAUAAUGCCUACAACAGUUGUAUACCCGUUCCCCAGCUCGUUAUUAGCUAUUCUCGUGAUAUAUAAUAUUAUCGCCCAUAUAUAUAAUUUCGCUUUUUUGCAGAGUAAAAAGGGUGUGUAACAAGACGAAGGUGCAGCGCGACGAGUUGAAAAAUAAUAAUGAUAAAAAGAGUCGUCGAGAUGUGCCGCCGUAUAAUAAUUUCUUUCUCUCUCGCUCCGUGAUUUACAUAAUAUAUCAAAUAUAUUCAAAGUAAAAUUCG